UACGUAGGGGGCAAGCGUUGUCCGGAAUCAUUGGGCGUAAGGAGCGUGUAGGCGGCCAGAAAAGUCCGCUGUGAAAACUCGAGGCUCAACUUCGAGCUGUCGGUGGAAACUUUCUGGCUAGAGUCCGGAAGAGGAGAAUGGAAUUCCUGGUGUAGCGGUGAAAUGCGCAGAUAUCAGGAAGAACACCCGUGGCGAAGGCGGUUCUCUGGGACGGUACUGACGCUGAGGAGCGAAAGCGUGGGUAGCAAACAGG
rnacentral:rRNA from 1 species